UACGUAGGCAGCAAGCGUUGUUCGGAGUUACUGGGCGUAAAGGGUGCGUAGGCGGCUAUUUAAGUUUGGUGUGAAAUCUCCCGGCUCAACCGGGAGGGUGCGCCGAAUACUGAGUGGCUAGAGUGCGGGAGAGGAAAGUGGAAUUCCUGGUGUAGCGGUGAAAUGCGUAGAUAUCAGGAGGAACACCGAUGGCGAAGGCAGCUGCCUGGCCUAGGACUGACGCUGAGGUGCGAAAGCGUGGGGAGCGAACGGG
rnacentral:rRNA from 1 species